CACUACCAUGGUUUACUAGAGGGGGGCUCCACAACCACGGUUUACUGGAAGUGGCUCCACUACCAUAGUUUUUUGUGUUUUUUUCCACUGCCAUAGUUUUAUGGAGGGGGCUCCACAGCCACGGUUUACUGGAGGUGGCUCCACUACCAUGGUUUACUGGAGGCGGCUCCACUGCCAUAGUUUAUUGGAGAUGGUAUCACAUCCUUGGUUUACUGGAGGUGGCUCCAUGGCCAUUGAAGCCCUCGCUUAGUUCGGAUGCCGAAAAUUCUAACCCUGGCCUCCAGAUGCAUCUCCUGCCUCCUCUUCACUUCCACCUCCACAGACUGGUGUUUGCACCAUUGAACGGGCAUUUUCCUGCCCCCUCCUUGCAGGAACUGCAGGUCCAACCUCUUGCCUCUGGUGCUAGCCCACCCUUUUGGCCCCAGGCCCUGAGAUGACCAGAAGUAAAAAAUGAAAAGCCCCCAAAUGUUAGGACCGGCAACUCAAGGUUCAAAACAUCACACAGGAAUUUUACAAGGACUUUAAAAAAUAAAAUAA